AGCUAUUACAACGCUCUUUUCUCUUUUCGUACUCUGCUGGACUUUCUCUGUACAACCUGUACACUGAACCUGCAAAACUGGGGUCAAGGGAGUGGGAUGAGCUCUAAAGCCCAGUGAGUAGAAUAGUAAAACAAGUCAUUUAACACAUGCUCUGAUGAAAUGCUUCAUAUCACAGACAAUCCACAUCAAAGGUAAACUCGUCACCACAUAGUCCCAGUAAACCGUGCCAGGCCGUAGACUGGGGUCCUAGUCUUCCUGUCCUGUAUAUGUAUAUGUGUAUAUAACACCUGUACUUACCAUUUGCAAGGGCGUAGACUGGGCACCUGGACUUUACUAUACCUGCCAGGCCAUAGAAUGGGGUCCUGGACUUUCCUAUACCUGCCAGGCCGUAGAAUGGGGUCCUGGACUUCCUGUCUGGAACUAUUGGAUCAUUCAGCAUUUACCCACAUCAACAAAUAAAUAUGCAAUGCAAUACCUUUGUGAGAUCUAAUGCAAUCCUCCUAUGCAUAAUCAUGGUGCAUGAGAUAUGCUAAAAGCAUUUAAAGUUUCAAUUAAAACAAGUAUUAGGUUUAGUUCCACUCACCUCUGGCUAUCUGGACUGACUCUGCAGGCUCUGAAAACUCUGGAGCAGUACUCACUGCCGCUCUCUCUGGUUCCUCUGGUCUGUGCCUACACAGAUUGACUCAUAUGAGGGACCAAAUUAGCUUAGAAUCAACUCUAUGAAACUCCCCAAAAAUCCCCUGACUCUCACUAAAACAUCCAUGCAAAGCAUGCAAAGGAAGGCUGGACAGAACACUUUCGGCGGCAGGUUCGGCGGCCGAAAGUCCUCUCCAGAGCCGAACCUCAUGCACUUUCGGCGGCCGAACCUCACUUUCGGCAGCCGAAAGUCCAAACUUGCGGAGGCAAAGUUCGGGGGCUGAAAGGCAUUCCAGAGCCGAAACUCCCUUCCUUCGGCGGCACCUUCGGCGGCCGAAACACCAGCCACAGUCGAAGGUUCAAACCUUCAGGGACAGGUGUAGGCAACCGGUACCACCUACUCAGCACCUUUGGCGGCCGAAGCUUCCUUCGGCAGCCGAAGCUGGGGUUUCCAGCAAGGCAGAACCUUGCGGUGUUCCUGCCAAAUCGCUCCAAAACUUGCCUAAACAUGCAAACCACGAUUUCUCUCCACACAUAUACUCCAGUAUAUGCCCAAAGGGGUCUCAAACUAUCUUAAAACCCCAUCAAACAACUCCCAUACAAGCUGUUGCACCAAGAACACAUAAAAGCUAGUUCAACCCUAAUAUAGAUUUCUACCCAUACAAACCCCAUAAAACCUUCAGAAAACAUAUAAAGAAGUUCAGGAGUGUCCCUUACCUCUUGGAACCAAGAAGUUGAACGUUCCGAACGUGGAGAAAGGAAGCAACUCUCCUUCAACUCUCCAAACUUCAAAAUCUUUAUGUUUUUAGCUCAAAACCUUCAAAUAACAUAAAAACUAAUCAAAACCUUGAAAGAUUUGAUGAAAAUGUGAAGAUUACCUGAGGAAGAACAUGUUCUCACCUCUGUCUAAGCAAAAGAACACAAUAUCUAGCUUUUGCCGACUGAGGGCCUUAAAUAGGUGGCUGGCCAGACCACCUUCGGCGGCCUAUCGUGAGAACAAAAGUCAUGCAUGUUCGGCGGCCGAACAUUACCUUCGGGGGCCGAAAGUCUGCAAGUUCGGCGGCCGAACAUUACCUUCGGCGGCCGAACCUGACUUUUCUGCCUUGGUUCUUUUCUUUCAAAAUUUCAUUUCCUUUUAACUUUAAAAACAUUAAACCUGCUAUAUUACGUUUAGAAAAACAUAAAUCUUUCCCUCUAGAGGAUUCCGACAUCCUGGAUUCCAUCGGACGACAGGAAUUCUGAUGUCAGACUCCAGCCGGGUAUUACAUUCUCCCCCCCUUAAGAACAUUUGUCCUCGAAUAUUCCUAAACAAACAAAGAAACACAUAAAAAGAGGAAAACUAACCUCAAAACAGAUAUGGAUAUUGCUGGAGCAUAGACUCCCGCGUCUCCCAGGUGCAUUCCUCUAGAUUAUGGUGGUUCCAUAAAACUUUCACCAUCGGAAUUUCCUUGUUCCUUAGCUGCCUGAUCUGCGUGUCUAGAAUCCGUACUGGCUGCUCUGUAUAGGUGAGAUCUCUAAGAAUCUCCACAUCAGGCUCACUCAGGACCUGAUUCGGAUCUGACACAAACUGCCGUAGCAUAGAAACAUGAAAUACCGGGUGAAUUCUCUCCAUAGAAGCAGGUAAAUCCAGCUUAUACGACACAUUCCCGAUCCUUUGUAAGAUCUCAAAGGGGCCAAUGUAUCGUGGAGCUAACUUACCUUUUCUUCCGAAACGAACCACCCUUUUCAUUGGAGACACCUUCAGCAAUACCAUACUACCCUCCUGAAACUCUAUUUGUUUCCUGCGAAUGUCUGCAUAGCUCUUCUGUCGACUCUGAGCUGUUCUGAUCCUUUCUCUGAUCACGGGCACUGUUCUACUGGUAAUGUCUACUAACUCUGGCCCUGCAAGAGCUUUCUCUCCUACCUCUUCCCAGCAAACAGGUGAUCUGCACUUCCUCCCAUACAAAGCUUCAUAAGGAGCAUCCCUAUGCUAGCAUGAUGACUGUUAUUGUAAGCAAACUCCACCAGAGGUAGAUGCUGCCUCCAAGAACCGCCAAAGUCUAACACACACAUUCGAAGCAUAUCCUCUAUGGUCUGGAUGGUCCUUUCUGACUGACCGUCAGUCUGAGGAUGGAAAGCAGUGCUAAAAUCGAGUCUCGUGCCCAUUGUACUCUGCAGACUUCGCCAAAAUCUAGAGGUGAAUUGAGGUCCUCUGUCUGAGACUAUAGACACUGGAACUCCAUGUAAUCUGAUUAUCUCAUCCAGAUAAACCUGUGCCAACUUAUCUACAGAAUAGUUACUCCUUACAGGAAUGAAAUGAGCAGAUUUCGUGAGUCUGUCCACAAUCACCCAUAUAGAGUCUAUCCUGUUGGCUGCUGCCGGUAAACCCACUACAAAAUCCAUAGCUAUGUUCUCCCAUUUCCAUUCUGGAAUCGGCAGUGGGUUAAGCAUUCCAGCCGGCUUCUGAUGUUCUAGUUUCACCCUCUGGCACACCUCACAGGCAGUCACAAACUGCGCUACUUCUUUCUUCAUAGCUGGCCACCAAUACACCCUUUUUAGAUCCCGAUACAUUUUGGUGGCUCCUGGGUGAACACUAUAUCUCGCAUUAUGAGCUUCUCUCAUAAUGUCUUCCUUCAGAUUGCUACUAUCUAGUACACAAAGGCGACUCCCAAAGCGAAGGAUCCCUUUGCUAUCAAAUCUAAAUUCUGCAUUGUUGCCAGACUGGACAGUCCUGGCAAUUUUCAUAAAGUCAGGGUCCUCAUGCUGUUUCUGAGCUAUCUGCUCCAGAAACACAGGUGUCACUCUCAUCUGUGCUAUCAAUGCACCUGUACCAGACAACUCUAGCUGUAACCCUUCCUCUAUGAGCUUGUAAAGCUCCAUCACUACUGGUCUCCAUUCUGCUGCUAUAUGGGAUAAACUGCCUAGUGACUUCCGGCUUAAAGCGUCUGCCACAACAUUCGCCUUACCCGGAUGAUACUGGAUUUUACAAUCGUAAUCACUGAGCAAUUUUACCCAUCUUCUCUGCCUCAAAUUCAGCUCUCUCUGGCUCAAGAUGUACUGUAAACUCUUGUGAUCAGUAAAGAUCUCGCAUUUAACCCCGUAGAGGUAAUGCCGCCACAUCUUGAGUGCAAAGAUAACUGCUGCCAUCUCAAGGUCAUGGGUGGGGUAAUUCAACUCGUGCUUCUUCAACUGUCUAGAAGCAUAAGCAAUCACCCUAUCCUUCUGCAUCAAAACACAACCCAAUCCCACUCGAGACGCAUCACAGAACACUGUGAAAUCCUCAUUACUGACAGGCAGAGCCAACACUGGUGCUGAUGUCAGUCUCCUCUUGAGCUCCUCAAAGCUCUCCUCACACUGGUCCGACCAAACAAACUUCUGAUUUUGCUGAGUUAGUUUGGUCAUAGGAGCCGCUAUCUUUGAGAAGUCCUGAACGAACCUCCUGUAGUAACCUACCAGUCCCAAAAAGCUUUUAAUCUCAGUCACUAUAGUGGGUCUGGGCCAGUUAGCUACAGCCUCUAUCUUCUUGGGGUCUACCUCAAUCCCUUCUGCUGAUACUACAUGUCCCAAGAAGGAAAUGCUCAUCAAUAAAGACAAUCACAAAGUGAUCCAUAAACUCAUUGAAAACUUUGUUCAUGAGGUCCAUGAAUGCUGCAGGGGCGUUAGUCAACCCAAACGGCAUCACUAAGAACUCAUAAUGCCCAUAUCUGGUCCUGAAAGCUGUCUUGGGCACAUCUGCCUCUCGGACUCUCAACUGAUGAUACCUGGAUCUCAGAUCUAUUUUAGAGAAACAACCUGCUCCAGCUAGCUGGUCGAAUAGAUCAUCAAUCCUAGGUAGAGGAUAUCUAUUCUUGGUAGUGACCUUGUUCAACUGUCUGUAGUCGAUACAAAGUCUAAGGGAUCCAUUCUUCUUUCUAACAAACAGCACUGGUGCACCCCAAGGUGAGGUACUAGGGCGGAUGUAACCCUUAUCUACCAAGUCCUGCAACUGUUCUUUUAACUCUUUUAACUCUGUUGGUGCCAUCCUGUAGGGAGGAAUAGAGAUAGGUCUAGUACCAGGCAGCAACUCAAUUUCAAACUCUAUCUCCCUAUCAGGUGGUAGUCCUGGCAAGUCAUCUGGGAACACAUCCGGAAACUCUCGGACUACUGGUAUCGAAGCUGAUUCCCUAACCUGACUGUCUAGCUCCCUCACAUGAGCUAGAAACCCCUGACAACCCCUCCUAAGCAAACGACGAGCCUAAAGGGCUGAAAUCAAACCUCUGGGUAUACCUCUCCUGUCUCCUCUGAAGACACACUCUGACCCAUCCUGGUCUCUGAGACUAACUACCCUCUCUCUACAGUCCAAAGUAGCACCAUAUGUAGACAGCCAAUCCAUCCCUAGAAUGACAUCAAAAUCUGUCAAGUCUAGAACCACAAGGUCAGCUGGAAGGCAUCUACCCUCUAUGAACACUGGACUGAAACGACAGACUGACAUUGCCACUGAUGGGUCACACUUGGGUCCACUGACCCAGAGAGGAUACUCUAACUCAGAACUGAUCAAACCCAACCUCUCUAUGGCUCUCGAAGCAAUAAAGGAAUGAGAAGCAUCGGGGUCCAUCAAAGCAUACACAUCUGAACAUCCAAUGAUGAGAUUACCUGACACCACUGUGUUCGACGUGUUCGCCUCCUCCUGAGUCACAGUGAAAAUCCGUGCUGGGGCUACCGGAUUUCCACCUCGGGAACCUGCUGCUGAAGUAGAGGCUGCCCCUCUCCCUCUACCUCUGCCACUGCUUUGAGGCACGGCUGGAGCUGCUGGCUGUACAACACUGCCUGAACUCAUCUGCUGGGAUGGUGCAACAAACGUCACCUGGGGACAUUCCCGAGCAAAAUGCCCUUCUUGUCCACAUCUAAAACAAGCUGAAGAUCCUAACUGACAAGCUCCCUUGUGUAAUCUCCCUCACCUCUUACAUAUGGGACUACUUGCGCUAGAGCUUAAGCCACUACCCAUUCCCAGACCAUAUUUGACUUUACUCCAUAACUUACUCUUUGUUCCUUUUGCCUUUUUCCCAUCUCUUGCUGCCUGCGGCUGCUGAACUGGGGGCCUUAGAACCCGAAGCCUGUGCCCUUGACUGUUUCUGCAUAUUGGCACUUGCUUCCAUUUUCCUGGCUGCGUCCACAAUAGAGUGGAAACUCUCCUUCUCUGCUGGAAGAAUCAAGGAAGAAUACCUGGGAUGCAAUCUCAUAGUAUAUCUCCUUGCCUUCUUCUGAUCAGUAUCAUAGGCCUGACCCACGUACUGAAGCAAAUCCAGGAACUUAUCUGUGAAUUCAUCAACACUCAUCUCAUCUGUCUGCCGCAACUGCUCAAAUUCUAUGACUUUCAUCUCCCUGGAACUGUCAGGAAAAGCCCAUCUUGCAAACUCAUUGGCGAACUCUCCCCAUGACAUACUGUCCAUCCUGGGCUCCACAUAGUUCUUAAACCAUUCUCUAGCUUUCUUGCACUUCAAUGUGAACCCCGCCAUCUCAAUGGCUCUACUAUCAUCUGCUCCCAACUCACUGGUUAUCAUCCUAACUGAUCUGAGGUAUUCAAAUGGAUCAUCUCCCGUGUUGUACUUAGGAGCAUCCAAUUUCAAUUACUCCGUCAUUUUCACCUUACUUCCCCCAGAUGAGCUAGGUUGCUGUUGAAGCACAACAAGGGUUACUGGUUCAAUUGGUGGUGGAGGUACUGGUUCAUUUGGCUCUGGGUGUGCUGUACUUGGAUGGAUUGGUGAGGGUGGAUACAUGGGAUAUGGUGGGUAAUAAGGAGGAUAAGGCAUGUAUGGCAUAUAAGUAGGAUAUGGGACAAAACUAGAGUACUCCGACAUACCUCCCAUCGGAUACCCUGGGUCCUGAGGAAAGGCUGGAUAACCAAACCCCGAGGCCUGAGCGCCUCCCUGAGACUCUCCUAUACCUUCUUCAGGUCUGCCUACACCCAUGCUUUCAUCUAGUGAAUGAUCAACCUCCAUAGCUUCCCACACAUCCUCUGAUCUCCCUCCUCUAGCUGUACCUCUUCUGCUCUCGUCUACAGACCUUCUAGGGUCUAUAAACGUACCUUCCCUGCUAGAUCUCUGAGACCUUGCCCUUGGCAAUGCAGGAGGACGAGCAGCUGUUCUAUCACUAUCUAGUGGGACUCCAGUCAAUCGCGCUGAUCGACGAGUUCCGCUCAUCUUAACUCUGGAAAACAACACAUAACAUAGCACUUUAGCAUAUCAAAACAUCACAUCGCAAUAACAAUACACAUGCACAUCAUGGUAGUUCAUAGUAGCAAAUAGACAGGACACAACAUCCUAUCCUAGUGGACAUGAUUUCCUAUUGUGCUUGACCACUUCUACCUCUAUGAGCCCGACACUCUCUUGAUCUAUAGGUCCGAUCAUAUGAACCAUGGGCUCUGACACCAAUCUGUAACGCCCCCAAAAUGGACCGUCACCGGCGCUAGGAUUCAGGUCGGCUUAAGGCCGCCAGAACCCGUAGCAAGCCUGCUAUACCCUCUGAGUACCUGUAUAUCCCAUACAUGAUCAUACAUUUUCUGUGAAAAUAAAAACUUUCUUCUAAACCAUGGCUCAACCUGUGCAUGCACUAUGUAUGUACACAGACUCCCUGACCAGAGCACUCAUCAAGCUCUAGCUGAGUCCACAUAGUAACCUGGUCAUCCAGACUCAUCAACUGGACAUAAACAUAUACAGACCAUGUUUACAAAGGAUUUACAAGACAAAUUAACUCAGUCACGCACACUUUAACUGAAUACACAUCUAAUACAUCUCUUUAACUUUACAUGUCCACUCUAAGCUAUUACAACGCUAUUUUCUCUUUUCGUACUCUGCUGGACUUUCCCUGUACAACCUGUACACUUAACCUGCAAAACUGGGGUCAAGGGAGUGGGAUGAGCUAUAAAGCCCAGUGAGUAGAACAGUAAAACAAGUCAUUUAACACAUGCUCUGAUGAAAUGCUUCAUAUCACAGACAAUCCACAUCAAAGGUAAACCCGUCACCACAUAGUCCCAGUAAACCGUGCCAGGCCGUAGACUGGGGUCCUGGUCUUCUUGUCCUGUAUAUGUAUAUGUGUAUAUAACACCUGUACUUACCAUUUGCCAGGGCGUAGACUGGGCACCUGGACUUUACUAUACCUGCCAGGCCGUAGAAUGGGGUCCUGGACUUUCUUAUACCUGCCAGGCCGUAGAAUGGGGUCCUGGACUUCCUGUCUGGAACUAUUGGAUCAUUCAGCAUUUACCCACAUCAACAAAUAAAUAUGCAAUGCAACACCUUUGUGAGAUCUAAUGCAAUCCUUCUAUGCAUAAUCAUGGUGCAUGAGAUAUGCUAAAAGCAUUUAAUGUUUCAAUUAAAACAAGUAUUAGGUUUAGUUCCACUCACUUCUGGCUAUCUGGACUGACUCUGCAGGCUCUGAAAACUCUGGAGCAGUACUCACUGCCGCUCUCUCUGGUUCCUCUGGUUUGUGCCUACACAGAUUGACUCAUAUGAGGGACCAAAUUAGCUUAGAAUCAACUCUAUGAAACUCCCCAAAAAUCCCCUGACUCUCACUAAAACAUCCAUGCAAAGCAUGCAAAGGAAGGCUGGACAGAACACUUUCGGCGGCAGGUUCGGCGGCCGAAAGUCCUCUCCAGAGCCGAACCUCAUGCACUUUCGGCGGCCGAACCUCACUUUCGGCAGCCGAAAGUCGAAACUUGCGGAGGCAAAGUUCGGGGGCUGAAAGGCAUUCCAGAGCCGAAACUCCCUUCCUUCGGUGGCACCUUUGGCGGCCGAAACACCAGCCACAGCCGAAGGUUCAAACCUUCAGGGACAGGUGUAGGCAACCGGUACCACCUACUCAGCACCUUUGGCGGCCGAAGCUUCCUUCGACAGCCGAAGCUGGGGUUUCCAGCAAGGCAGAACCUUGCGGUGUUCCUGCCAAAUCGCUCCAAAACUUGCCUAAACAUGCAAACCACGAUUUCUCUCCACACAUAUACUCCAAUAUAUGCCCAAAGGGGUCUCAAACUAUCUUAAAACCCCAUCAAACAACUCCCAUACAAGCUGUUGCACCAAGAACACAUAAAAGCUAGUUCAACCCUAAUAUAGAUUUCUACCCAUACAAACCCCAUAAAACCUUCAGAAAACAUAUAAAGAAGUUUAGGAGUGUCCCUUACCUCUUGGAACCAAGAAGUUGAACGUUCCGAAUGUGGAGAAAGGAAGCAACUCUCCUUCAACUCUCCAAACUUCAAAAUCUUUAUGUUUUUAGCUCAAAACCUUCAAAUAACAUAAAAACUAAUCAAAACCUUGAAAGAUUUGAUGAAAACGUGAAGAUUACCUGAGGAAGAACAUGUUCUCACCUCUGUCUAAGCAAAAGAACACAAUACCUAGCUUUUGCCGACUGAGGGCCUUAAGUAGGUGGCUGGCUAGACCACCUUCGGCGGCCUAUCGUGAGAACAAAAGUCAUGCAUGUUCGGCGGCCGAACAUUACCUUCG
rnacentral:lncRNA from 1 species